rnacentral:miRNA from 1 species
GAGGUUUGGGGAGGAUUUGCU